GUGUAAAAGGUGUAAGGAUGACAGUUCUACAUACUGUCCUAUCACCGAAGUUAAGCAACGUCGAGCCCGGUUAGUACUUGGAUGGGUGACCGCCUGGGAAUACCGGGUGUUGUAGACA
rnacentral:rRNA from 1 species